UUGCUGCACGUCGCCCCGCCCCACGUCGCUGCACCUCACGGUGCUCUGCCCCAGGGCUCUCUCGGGGGCUAUGUGGCUGGCGGCCCGCGGGCUGUGGGGACACCCUGCGGGGCUCUGGACGGUACUCGGCGGCCGCAAGGCGGGGCUUCUUCCUGGCGGUGUCCGAGACCUGCAUGGCUCCCCGGUCUCCUGCGGCAAGAACCUGCUCCAGAAAUUUGCCUCGAAAACCAAAAAGAAGUUUUGGUAUGAAGGCCCUUCCCUGGGCUCUCACUUGACUUACAAGCCAUCCAAGUUGGAACUCCUAACAAAGAGCACCUCAAAGAAAACCAGGAAGGAAGACCACGUGCGCCUGAGGGCCCUGAAUGGCCUCCUCUACAAAGCGCUCAGCGAUUUGCUGUGCAGCCCUGAAGUGAGCCAAGAGAUCUACGACCUGAAUGUGGAGCUGUCCAAGGUGUCUUUGACCUCAGACUUCUCCGCCUGCCGUGUGUACUGGAGGACGACUGGUUCUGCUGAGCAGAAUGCACACACCCAGGAUACCCUGAAGCGAUUCUCAGCACAUAUGAGGCAUCUUUUGCUGUCCCAGCAGACUCUGAGGAACAUGCCACCAAUAGUGUUUGUUCAGGACAAACAGCAUGCAGUUCUAGCUGAGGUGGAUCGGUUACUGGCAAUUGCUGAUUUUGGACCCCCUGAUGAACAAGAAGACCUCACACAAAGUGACUUCAGGGACCCUGAGGCCGCAGAUGCUCCAUCGCCGUGUGACGCCCUGGGCCCUGCCGUGCACUCGAGUCUGUAUGGGAUUGAUCAUGAGGCUCUCAACAAGCAGAUCAUGGAGUACAAGAAGAGGAGAGAGAAAGGACACAGGGGCGAGAGCCCAGCAUGGCUGGGGCCAGAGCAGGUGGCUGAGCUGACAAGGCAAAUGACAAGGAAGAAGAAGGCCAAACCUCGUGUGGACGAUGAUCUCUCCCCCAAGAACUAUCCGUGGGGGUUGGUGAGUGAAGACGACCUGGACGAUGAUGGGGCCCUUCAGGAGGAGUUCACCCCAGUACAGGAGUGGGAGCUCCGAGAAGCAGAGCAGGAACUGAAGGCAGAGAGAGGAGGUGACAGAAAGGACUGAGGUGACUGUUAAUGAUCACAAAGGGUGUGGGUGUGAGGCUUCAACUCUGCACCUGAUGGAAAUUCUGCUUUGAGAAGCACAGUCAUUUCUAGUUUUUCACAGGAAAGCCUUUGUAGGAUGUGCAGCUGAGUUACACCAGUUACCUCUCUCAGCCCUGCUAUUACUGGUACUGUGGAAAGUAAGAUGGCCUGUGGAAAGUGCAUAAAAACCUUUUAGAUUGAUGACAAUAAGGUUGAUCUCAUUAUUUGCGGACUCCAUAUUUUUAGGUUUGCCUACUCAUUAAAAUUUCUUUUUUUUAAAGAUUUUAAAUUAAUUUUCAGAGAGGAAGGGGGAGAGGGAAAUAAAAAAAGAGAAACAUUGAUGUGAGAGUGCAACAUUGAUUGGCUGCCUCCGCACACCCCAGACCGGGAUUGAGCCUGCAACCCAGGUAUGUACCCUGACCAGGAAUCAAACUGGCAACCUUUUAGUGCAUGGGAUAGCAUCCAACAUUUGAGCCACACUGGCCAGGGUUCACUAAAAUUUCUUUGUAACCCCAAAAUCAAUACUUGGAGCAUUUUCACAGUCAUUCUUAGAUAUGCCCAGAGAGAUGAAAAUUGGAAUCAUGCAGUGCACACAUCUUAGUUAAGUUCAGACAAGACAAAGCUCUACCUUCUUGUUUCCUCUCAUACUGUAAACAACUGCUUUUCGAGGUUUACUUAGUGCCACAUUUUCCACGAUUUUGUGUCUUUGAUGGCGAUUUCACUGUUUAAAAAUGGCCCCAAGCAGGGUGGUAAAGUGCUGUCUAGUUUUCCUAAGUGUAAGAUGGCUGUGAUGUGCCUUUCAGAGAAAGAAAAGAGGUCAGAUGAGUAUUGUUCAGGCACGAGUAAGGAGCUGUUGGGGAAAGUAAAAUGAUAUUUAGGUAAUCAGAGACGGGUGCACUGUUAAGAUAAAGCACAGAGAACUUGGAACAUAAUUUCCAUUUUUGCAAAGUGUUUCAGGAAGGAAAUAUUGCUCUCAUCUCUGCAUUGCUGGCAAGCCCCCAACGCUGUUUCCUUCAUAGGCAUCUGGGACCAGAUGCAGUGCCCCAGCAGGGACAUGGCACCAAGCAGCUCUGCCUUUGCCAGCACAAUGGCCCGACUGAAGAAACUGGAUUACAGGACACAGGCAGACCCCUGCAGAUGCUCUAGGCAUGUUGAUAUUUGGGUAGCACAUGUGUGAUCCCAUUCGCCUUCAAAGGAUGUGUGUAUCCUUGUGUGGGGAGCCAUUUCCUCGGAGUACAGGUUGCUUCUCUCCUGACUGAAGAAGGGGGUUGAACCUGUGUUAAAAUGUAUGAGGGAUUUGUUCUAAUCAGGUAUGUGAAGAUGACAGACUUGGAGACAAUUGCCUUGAAUGAAAUAUUUGGUACUUGCAGCUUCUAAGAGAAGGAACCACAUUGUGCAGGACCACCAGGAAGUGUAAGGUGGGUCAGGAGGCAGAACAAAUUGGGGUGGAGGGAGGGGGAGCAUUGUCCAGAGCCUAUGCUGUGGUUUCUCCAGAAAGGAAUGGGCAAGGCAUAGUAGAUAAGUUUGAGCAGGAUUAGGAUUGGAUGGUUGGAAUAAUUUCAGCAGACUCUGGGCUGCAAGGGUAGUUUCUACUUGCCCAGUACCUGGUCCUGGGGUGAUAAAGGGCAGAGGAAAUAUUGGCCUGGGAGUGUAAGAGCUAGAUAAAAGAAGUGGUUGGAAAGACCUGAUUAAUACUAGACCCACAGCACUGAGAAGCCUGCUCUACUGACCACUAAUUCUGCAUCAACACUGCAGAAGGUACGUAGAUCCCAAGUGCCAAGAGGUGAGUGUGGUGGCAAGGCUCUUGAGUUGUGAUGUCAGUACACACCGAAUGCAGGCGUGCCAUGUCUUCCACGUAUCAAAGAAAUGGGGAUUGUAGGAAAUGCUGGUACAAUAUGCUGCUUGUUCUUUUUUCUUUCCAUUUGUGCUCCAGAGCCAAGCUCCGUAUAAAACCAAACCGGUCAGGGCUGACAUUUUUUUUAGACCCAGGAAAUUUUGUUUAUAUUCCAUACAGGAAGGAUUUAAGACUAUUUGUAAGGAUGGAUAAAACACCACAUAAUAGUAUUAAGUAGAACAAAAAUAAAGGGGCCAGGAAUGAGAAGAGAUGGUACUUGGACCAAUAAUGGAAUGAAUUAAGGUUGUGUCAAGAAAGGGAGACUAAAUGUGAACCUGGCUGAUGUUUUCCACUCGUGGGUUCUCAGAGUGUUUCUACUGGAGCCCUAUUCACGAGGGAGGGGUAGUUUGGUCAUUGACUCCUCCCUGCAUUUCCUGAAAGUGGUGGAAGGUGUUGCCAUGUGGACAUGGACCAAUUCCAUUUAGGUAAAAAAAUAACACUAAUAGGAUCUGCAUUAGCAACUGGAAUGCAGCACUUUGCACAUCUUUAAGGAUUAAUUUCAUCUUUGAUAUGAAAAGAAACAAAACUAAACACCAGACUUCCCAAAUACAAAGAAUGCUUCCAAAUUCACUAAAAGGACUUAGAACUUUAGUUACUUCAAGCACAUUCAAGGACCUUCCAGGUUGGUAGGCAUGUGGAGAUUUGGGGUGUGGCACGCUUGGAGGACAUGGGAGCUCUGGGUUUUUUCCCAACACCUCACCCCAUGUAGCCCUUCCACCUGGCUAUGCCCGAGUUAUAUUGUUUUAAAAUAAGCUGGUGAUCUACAUGUGGGCCUUCAGAUAGCAACCAAAAGUCCCACCACAUAUACUUCCUGAAGAGUGAUACCAAAGGGCCAGUUGGAAAUCUUAGGACCACCUGUGCAUCCAAACUUUGGAUCUUAGUAAAACAGCAACAGCCUUGCUUCUUUCUCUGCUAGAACAGGAACUAUAAAAAUUGGUCCAAGAUUUUGGCAAAGCAGAAUGCCAAGAGUUACUCUGUGUCUGCAGGGCACAGCAAAUGGGAGACACUGUUCCAUUCCUCUAGGUCAUGGAUGCCCUGAAUGCAUCAGGACCCGUCUCUAGAAACAUCCAAGAAGCAGCCUGUGUGCAGCUUCUUUCCCUAAAAAUGCUCAAGUUUGCCUAACCAGGCAUGACAGCAUAGGAAGCAGGAGUUCUAACUCACAGCCUUUCAGUGUCUCACUUUACCCAUCUGUGAAGUGCACACAGGAUAUUAGACAAGAAAACCUCACCUCCUUUCACAAUUCUGAGGAAUCUAGUGGAAGAUGGAUGUGGGACAUCUCAUUGUGCCAGAUAACCUGAGAUGACAGUGACUGUACAACUACUGCUAAGACCAGAACCCAAAUGUUCCUAGUAAAUAUGGAAGCAAUAUGGUUUCCAUCUAUCUUAUUUU